GCUGGGUGUGGUGGCAUGCACCUUUAGUCCCAGCUACUUUGGAGGCUGAAGUGGGAGAAUUGCUUGAGCCCAGGAGUUUGGGGCCAGUCUGGGCAACAUAGCAAGAUCCCAUUUCUU
ensembl:misc_RNA Metazoa_SRP Metazoan signal recognition particle RNA